rnacentral:rRNA from 1 species
GACGAACGCUGGCGGCGUGCUUAACACAUGCAAGUCGAACGGAAAGGCCCUGCUUUUGUGGGGUGCUCGAGUGGCGAACGGGUGAGUAACACGUGAGUAACCUGCCCUUGACUUUGGGAUAACUUCAGGAAACUGGGGCUAAUACCGGAUAGGAGCUCCUGCUGCAUGGUGGGGGUUGGAAAGUUUCGGCGGUUGGGGAUGGACUCGCGGCUUAUCAGCUUGUUGGUGGGGUAGUGGCUUACCAAGGCUUUGACGGGUAGCCGGCCUGAGAGGGUGACCGGCCACAUUGGGACUGAGAUACGGCCCAGACUCCUACGGGAGGCAGCAGUGGGGAAUAUUGCACAAUGGGCGGAAGCCUGAUGCAGCAACGCCGCGUGCGGGAUGACGGCCUUCGGGUUGUAAACCGCUUUCGCCUGUGACGAAGCGUGAGUGACGGUAAUGGGUAAAGAAGCACCGGCUAACUACGUGCCAGCAGCCGCGGUGAUACGUAGGGUGCGAGCGUUGUCCGGAUUUAUUGGGCGUAAAGGGCUCGUAGGUGGUUGAUCGCGUCGGAAGUGUAAUCUUGGGGCUUAACCCUGAGCGUGCUUUCGAUGCGGGUUGACUUGAGGAAGGUAGGGGAGAAUGGAAUUCCUGGUGGAGCGGUGGAAUGCGCAGAUAUCAGGAGGAACACCAGUGGCGAAGGCGGUUCUCUGGGCCUUUCCUGACGCUGAGGAGCGAAAGCGUGGGGAGCGAACAGGCCUAGAUACCCUGGUAGUCCACGCUGUAAACGGUGGGUACUAGGUGUGGGGUCCAUUCCACGGGUUCCGUGCCGUAGCUAACGCUUUAAGUACCCCGCCUGGGGAGUACGGCCGCAAGGCUAAAACUCAAAGGAAUUGACGGGGCCCCGCACAAGCGGCGGAGCAUGCGGAUUAAUUCGAUGCAACGCGUAGAACCUUACCUGGGUUUGACAUGGAUCGGGAGUGCUCAGAGAUGGGUGUGCCUCUUUUGGGGUCGGUUCGCAGGUGGUGCAUGGCUGUCGUCAGCUCGUGUCGUGAGAUGUUGGGUUAAGUCCCGCAACGAGCGCAACCCUUGUUCACUGUUGCCAGCACGUUAUGGUGGGGACUCAGUGGAGACCGCCGGGGUCAACUCGGAGGAAGGUGGGGAUGACGUCAAGUCAUCAUGCCCCUUAUGUCCAGGGCUUCACGCAUGCUACAAUGGCUGGUACAGAGAGUGGCGAGCCUGUGAGGGUGAGCGAAUCUCGGAAAGCCGGUCUCAGUUCGGAUUGGGGUCUGCAACUCGACCUCAUGAAGUCGGAGUCGCUAGUAAUCGCAGAUCAGCAACGCUGCGGUGAAUACGUUCCCGGG